ACGGGUGAGUAACACGUGGGAACGUGCCUUUAGGUUCGGAAUAACUCAUGGAAACUUGUGCUAAUACCGAAUGUGCCCUUCGGGGGAAAGAUUUAUCGCCUUUAGAGCGGCCCGCGUCUGAUUAGCUAGUUGGUGAGGUAAAGGCUCACCAAGGCGACGAUCAGUAUCUGGUCUGAGAGGAUGAUCAGCCACAUUGGGACUGAGACACGGCCCAAACUACUACGGGAGGCAGCAGUGGGGAAUCUUGCGCAAUGGGCGAAAGCCUGACGCAGCCAUGCCGCGUGAAUGAUGAAGGUCUUAGGAUUGUAAAAUUCUUUCACCGGGGACGAUAAUGACGGUACCCGGAGAAGAAGCCCCGGCUAACUUCGUGCCAGCAGCCGCGGUAAUACGAAGGGGGCUAGCGUUGCUCGGAAUUACUGGGCGUAAAGGGAGCGUAGGCGGACAUUUAAGUCAGGGGUGAAAUCCCGGGGCUCAACCUCGGAAUUGCCUUUGAUACUGGGUGUCUUGAGUAUGAGAGAGGUGUGUGGAACUCCGAGUGUAGAGGUGAAAUUCGUAGA
rnacentral:rRNA from 1 species